ensembl:lncRNA
GGAGGAGUCAAUCAUGUCAAUUCUGCACAACUUAGAGAUGGAGAACACUGAGAUCCAUGAGAACAGCCAUAAGCUGAAGAAGGAGAUUACCUUCUCUAGAAACCUGCUCAGCCAGCUCCUGAUGGAGAACACAUGCAGGAAGAAGUUGGUCCCACGGAAGCAGGGGAGCAAGGAGGGACAUCUUGAGUGUGCACUGAACCAGAAAUAUUUGGUUGACUUCAACAAGAAAGAUAAAGACCAGCAACGUCCAGACCCAGCAUCAUCAGAAAACACCACUUGAGAGACAGCUUGGGGGACCGCCUUUCAUUAUGUGUGCUAGAGGAGAAACAGCAAUACAUCUGUGCUUCUACAUGUUCGUUAAGAAUAUGCUGUUUAGAAAUAUUUUUGUUAUGAUUUUAAUUGAAGUUUUCAUUUUGUUGUUUCAUAUUUAUAUGUUCUUGUU